GCCACUUCCGUUCUUUCUGGUGAGUUAUGACUUUAUAAUGAAGCUCCGGGAUGAAGCUCUCGAAAAAUCUCUCUACAUCGAGAAUACCAAAGGUUUAUUUGUAAUAUAAACUAACUGGAAGAGAAUACUAUAGAUAUAGAAAGCAGAAGACCAGUUGUUUGGACAAAACUUUGCUUCCAUUCUGUUAAAUUUUGGACAUAGUUUAUGACACGACUCUGCAAUUUUGAAAAUGGCGGCUUACAACACGGAGGCCAAUGAGAGACCAUCACACGUACGGAGCGGCAACAAUGGUCAAGGAAAGAAAAGACUGCAAGAAUGGAUCACCCAUAAAACCAUAACCACUAUCUUCAGCAGCACCACAAAACACAGGGAUUCAAGGGGGUCACCCAUAAAACCAUAACCACUAUCUUCAGCAGCACCACAAACCACAGGGAUUCAAGGGGUCGAGGAGUUCAUGAAGAGGGAGCAACAAUAAAUUAAAUCCUUGAAUAGCAGCAGAAGGAAAUGAGAUCAAUGAAGAGACGGCAAGGGCUUACCUGUCUACUCGUCUGAACGUUUAAGAAAAUCGGAUCAAAGAUCUCUCGCAAACUGAAGACUAUGAUAUCGAGUAUGAUGAGGACCAUGACCACGCCGUAUAACUGGUAAUCUUUGAUCAUCUUAAAAAUAAAUAGAAAAUUAUCAUUCAUAAAGUAUUUCUGAAACAAAUGCGUUUAAUUUAUUUUGGGGUUGGUUGAUUUGACUAUUGUUAAUUAAUGACCAAUUAACAUUUAAGUAAUAAUGUGUGUUUUUAAUAUCAGUUAUUUUUCAUGAAUACAUAUAAAGUUUCUACUCACAGUUCUCAUUGCAGUUUUGGUUGUGAAGAUGCGAUGAACCCGCCACGUUUUUGUGAACAUUGCUCCAAAAGCCAUCGAGAACCCAAUAGCUAAAGUCCAUGUAUUAGACUGUUGAAGAUAAAUUUAAUGAAAUAUAAUAUUAUUCUGGCUUCAUGCAAAAUUUCUCAGGUCAAAAAUUGUAAACAAGUACUAGUAGGAGUCGGCUAUAAAUGGGUGAUUUUUGGUUUUACUGUCGCAACAGUUUUUUUUUUUGUCUCAUCAUGAAAUGACAUUAUAUUUCGUUUCAACUACAAGAAAAAAAGUGUGCUGGGCGAAAAUCCAAAAUGGCCAUAAUUUCUUUAUUUGGUGAUCUAUUCAUACGUUUAUGGGGUAGGCAAUUUGUUUUUACUACUAUUAGUACUUGGGCUACAUAUAUAAAUCACAGCGUUAAAGAAAUAGUUCAGUCGGAAAUGGGGGUUUCCGUGCUCAAUCAUAAUAUAUUUUAAUCCAACUAUUUUGUAUUGCCUGAAGUGUCUAGUUUCUGGAUCUUGAUGUUUAUUUUGCCAAAUUAUUUCUCAUGGGGUUGAAAAUUGCUAAUUUCUGUGGUCUUUGUUGUGUGAAUAACACGCAGAAAAGACAUAUGAGUAUGAGGGCAAAAGUCCACCCCCCAAAAAAAUUGAUUUGAAUGAAAAGAGAAAAAUUUCAUCAAAAUCGGAUGUAAAAUGAAGUUAUGACACCACCCACUCACUAUUUCUUUUGUAUUUUAUUAUAUGAAAUAUCUCAAUUUUCUCUUUAUUUUAAUGAGAAACUAACAUUUUGUAGUAUAACCAAGGGGGGCCUUUUUGUCAAAAUUGAAAUAUUGUAUAAUUCAAACAAUAGAAAUUUGCAUAUCAGUAGGAGUGGGAUAUACAUGGGUCAAAAAUAUGUAGAGUUAAAAGGUAAUUCUACCUAAAUUUUCCAAUUUUUUUCAGCCAAAAUUAGAUGGUACGAGGUCAACAAUAGCAAGCAGCUUCAUAUAGCUAUGUUGCUUUUAUUCCUCUACUUUGGGACAUAUAUCUUAUUAAAUAAAAAAUGUCAAUUAUCCAUUGGGGCUAUACAAUGUACAUACUGCACAAAUUUGGCCACCAUGACAGAUGAGCACUCAGGUUUAGAGUUAGAUGCCUCAGAAAUUGGUUUUGUCAAAUAUGUUAAUUCAGGGUGCGGAGAGAGGUACCUGUAAUUAACCCCAUAUCAUGGCAUUUACACUGUAGCUAAUCAAAUUCUAAACCUUAGGUCUUGUCAUGGUGGUCAAUGCAUGGAUAUAUUAUAUUUUCUUUGACAAGAAUCUCUAAACCCCAUUAUCUAAGACCAUAUAAAAAUAUUGUCAUUUCAUGUUGAGAUAAGGUCAUAAAGAACAUAUAUAUUAUUAUUACAUUUGUCAAGUGUGACAUAAAUUUUUUAUAUUAUAUAGUCUAGGAUGAAAGUUAAUCCCUUAUUUUUACAACAAAGUACACAGUCUGAAUAUUUUCUGUAUAAAAACAAAAUUUUAUUAAGUUUUUGCAUUUGGAUAUACACCAGUUUAUUUUACACUUUGAAUAAGUUUCCUGCUCAAAGGUAUUCAAUUAUUAGAGAGAGAAAAAAAAAAAUAUAUAUUUAGUGACUAUAAGUGGAUAGCAAGCUUGAUUUACAUUUUGCUAGGUAAUAUUGUUUUUUUUUAGUUUGAACAGUAUGAAUAUUUUUAAGUACAAAAUCGUAAAGCCUUUUUCUGAAGUUUGUGCAAGGGUUCAAGUUGAAAUAUUGUAGUUUAAAUAAAAUGCUUAUACUUUCUAUGAUCACUGAAAUUAAUCUUAUUAUCAAGGGUGACUCCAAGAAAUUUAACAUUUCUGGUCAUUGAAAUAUUCAAUUGAUUAUGAACAGUAUAAAAAGAUUAUGAUCUGAUGCAAAAAGUAAUAUUUGUAAAAUUUCCAUUGUAAUGGAAUACCUCGGAUGUCACUAGUUGAUCCUGUAAGCCAUAUUGACAAUUACUAAAGGAAUUAUCUUACUAUUCUCCGGAACAUCGCCUGAACAGAGUGACAAAGGCAUUGCAAUAAAAUGAAUAAUCAAUACCAGAUGAAAAUUCUU